UGAGCGACCUUAAUUUGUCGGAAAGCAAAAAUUAUAGGUAUGUAUAAUUAUAGAUCUAGUAUAACAAAAAAAUAGAAAAAAAAUACGAAUCAAGUAGAUUUGUUGGUUAUGAAGACAUACUCUCUCAAUUAAAAUAUUUGAAAACUGGCUGGCAUGUCAGUAAAUGGUAGUAGAGCCUUGUUAGUUGGUGUAUCAUUGUCUUUUUGCUAACUUUCUUUAAAAUUUAUAGCCUUCUCUGACAUCAGACUCGGACUUAUUUUUAACCGAGCCUUACUGGUUUUUUUUUUAUUGCUGAGUGUUUGUUUAUUACACAUUAAUAAGGGGUAGGGUUGAGCUUUCACAAAACAUGUCCAACCUGCCGCAUUUUAUUUUCGCCCGUUUGAAGUCAGAAGUCUCUGACGAUUGUUAGUCUUGUUUUUUUUUCAUAUUCAGUAUUUUCAUAUAUUUUUGAAUUUCGUGUGUCGUCCAUCAUUUUCAUUGAAUACAUUCACAUUUUGUCUCUUUGACAAGUUCACCAUUACCAUUCUCAUUAAACUAAUUAUACUUUGAUUGAUUUAGGAACAUUCAAAUACGACAUGAUAUACGAUGGUCUGUUUUUUUUUUUUUUUUUAAAUUUUAAUUUUUAAACAAGUACAGAGAAAUAGAUUGUUUUUCAACUUGAAACAAGUUAACAGAUGUAUAGAUACUUUUUGGCAUAAGUCACAUCGUGACUUUUAUCAGACGCGGUUCAGUUAUGUUACAGUAAUUAAAAUCUGCAUAUAUAAUAACAACUUUGUUUUCGGAAGGGGAACGGCGGACAAUGGGUAAGAGGAAUAAAACUGAUAUGAUUUUGAUAUCCUUGUUUUUGGUACCAGUUGCAGUUUAAAUUUGAUUUUUUUUUUAGAAGUAAAGGAUAAGAAUAAAGAAAAUUAUAUAUUUUUUCAGGAUCAUGAAGGGUGGACGUCUCAAAUUGUUGGAAGAAAAACCGAAAUACAGAGAAAAAUACACACAACAGAUGGAUGCCUUGAAAAGGAUAGGCUUCGAUGAUGAUGUUUGUAGUGAUAAAAUGUUCUUCAUUUUGAAUGACAAUUUUCAUUUAAUUGUUAACUUUGCUAUUCCUUUUGUAAUUUUGAUUGGUCAGAUCUAUUGUGUUCCUAAUUUUUAGGAAAUAUACCUUAUCACAGUUGACCAAGUGAUUGCGACAAACUACAUUCAUUAAGGUUUCAUUUCUGUGUUUAUAGACAAUGCACUUUCAAAUGGGAAUUCCUUUUGCGGCUUAAGCUGUGCCACUAUGAAGUUUCGUUUAAAAUCAUAUCCCAGGAUGGAAAGCUUACAUGCACUACUAUUAUAUUCAAAGAUCAAUACAUAGGACUUGGGCGUUAUUUAUAUGCUCGAAACUAUCCCUACCUCAACAUUGGGCCAACUUCAGGAUUUUUCAGGGAUGUAUAAGGACGCAGUCACGUUCAAUUAUUUAACCUUAGCAAAAAAUUAUUAUUUUUCUAAUCAUUAUUAAACUGCUAUCUAUGUUGGAUGUUCGAAUACGCAGCCAUACUUUUAAUUACUCUACCAUUGUCAAAUUUGAAAUAUAAUAUCAGCUUAAAUCGGUCAAUGCUAUUCAUUGAGAAUGUAUUUCUGCUUUUUGGUCCGGUUGAUGUCUCUUUGAGACAUUUCCCAUUUUCAUUCUCUAUUAUUUAAUAUAUUUUCAGGACAUGAACAUUUUACACUGCAUGUUAGGAGCGAUUAUUCAUUUGACUGAAGUGAAGUUCAAGGAGGCGGACAAAGUAAAUGAGCCUCUAGAAAUAGUGAACAUUGACCAGGUUGAUCUAGGUACUCACAUUAUUACAAAAUUUCUAUUAAAUUUUUUUUUUAUCAUUUUUAUUUAACAAAAAAGCCCUAAGGCUUUCUUCUUAAUGUUUGUGAGUAACACAAUACGUCUUUCCACAAACAUAUACAAUUAAACGAUUGCAGAUAUACGAUUCAACAUACAACACGGAACACUUUAAAAUUAGUAUAUCAACGUCAGUUUUUAAUGAUAAUAAUAUAUGUAAACCGAAAUAGAUAUAGAAGUUUUCUUUAUAGUUCGCCUUUCUUUAUUAUUAUUAUGAAUUAAAAGAAACAACAAUAAAAGUUUUCACACAAUAUGCAGAGGAGAUACUCAAACGUAAAUUCAAAGAACAAAGUGGCAAUGCAAUCAGAAAAAAACCAAAAAAAUAAGUAAUAGUAUACAAAAUGCAAUAUAGAAUACUUAGGAUUAGAACACGAACCCCAUAAAAACCUGUGUUGAUUCCAGGUGCUCCGGAAGGGUGAAUCAGCCAUGAGUGGUUCCUUUUAUGUUGGUUGUUUAAUUAUAAACCUGUUGAUAAGUCUUAUUCGGUUAAUCAUAUUCUUAGGAAAGAUAACGAGGCUACGACAAUUGGGACAUAUUUAUCGUUAUCUUUAAAAGAAAUAUUCCGUAACCAUCAACCAACUUGAGAGUGCGUACCAACAAGCAAUAACUUCAACUUAUUUAGAACCCUUUGUUAAUAGCUUCUUUGUAAGCAACAAUUCUCUGAAAAAUAAAUCAUGAUUGGAAAAUCAAUUUUUGGAUAAUAAUAUCAACUGAGAGAUAAAGAUAUGCUAGAUUUUUGGUACAUAGAAAUGGAAAAACAACAAUUGGGAAAAUGAAAUUUCCCGGUUCAUCGUUAAGUUAUGUUCUCAACCGACCCUCAUAGUCAAUUUCGAGAUUUUAGUCAAGAUAUGAAAUAAACUCAGUUGUAUUUUGUUUCCCUUAUUUCAAUUGCAAGGCUAUAGAUGCGUUGUGCAUAGUCACCAAACUUUGAAUUAUAUUGUUAGAGGUCAUCAUCUGUAAAACGGAACGUGAAAUUAAUGAAUAAUACUAGUUCCUUUUUGUUCUAACAAGCUUAUCAGAAGUCAGCUUCAUCUAAUCAAAAGAAUAGGUCGGCAAGAAAAAAUAUCAAGUAUCAUUUGAAUCACUCUUAAUUAACUGAAGUUUAAUAGUUAAAGCAACAAAGGGAGAUGAUAGAUUUGCCGGCAAAAUAACAAAAAACUAAAGACAUGACACACAACACUACCGAUUAAGUAACUUGGACAGGCGCAUUACCUUUUAGUGAGGUUAAACUAUUUUUUUCUUAAAAUGGAUCCUCUCUAUGUUGAACAGGAGCUGUUUUCGCUUCAGGAGCACCUGAGAUCACCCCAGUUCUGGUGGGGUUCGUGUUGCCAUGUCUUUAAUUUUAUAUGUUGUAUCUAGUGUGCUAUUAGUGUGUUUGUCUGUUUGUUCUUUUCUCUUUUAGCCAUGGCCGUUUAUUUUUAAUCUAUGAGUUUGAUUGUCCCUCUGGUGUCUAUUGCCCAAAUUUUUCUGGAGUUGAGUUACAAUAUUACAGGAUAAUCUAUAGUCAUAUUAAUAGGUUUCUUGAAGUUCAUAUAUUUUGUAAAAAAAUUAAAAGAAAAACUAACGAAAUGUUCCCACAUUAUAAGGGAUUCAGGAAUCUAAUCUUAUAUUUAUUGUAUUUUGAUAGCUGCACAACUCCUGAAUGUAAAACCAUUAGAACUUUGUUUAGCACUUAUCAAGACCAAGACAGAAUAUGGAGGUUUGUUAUACAAAUUUAAUUUAAUAUAAAACUCGUCAACGACUUUAUGCUUAUUAGUACUGCAACUGACAUCGAAAAAGACGCUUAGUUAACGAGUUUAAUGGUCCGGAAUAACACACGGCUGCAAAUUGUUUUAAAUGAUAGAAUAAUAUCUAUAUUUUAAUUUCCGUCGGGUCGUAAAAAGUUUCUAUGGUCACAUUUUUGUAUUUUAUCCCUUUAAUCGGGGUACCCCUCAAUUUACGGUUUUGGGUAGUUUACCUUAAAAUCCAAAAAUAUAUUUUUUGGUUAAAUUUCCCGCUAUUUUCGUAAAUAUUUUCUAUGCACAUAUCAUCAAGGAUCAUCGGAAUGAUGAAGACAUAAAUAUUUUACUGUCUCCAAGUAAAACUUUCAAACUUAAAGUUGGCUGUUUUUUAGAUAGAAAUUUAACGCGUUUUUCUUUGAAAACGAGAAAACAUAUGAUUCAAAAACAGUAUUUGACAUUUGAGAGGACACAACAUAUUAUUGCGAUACUGCAUGCAAAUUUUGUUGGGCAAAUUCCAAACAAUUUUGUCAAAAACUCAAAAAUAAAAACAUCAUUUGUACCUAUAUUAAUUACGGAAAUUUCCUAUCCGUCAAUCAGCUCCACCAUUUAUUUUUUCAUUCACAAUCAAUUUGAUAGUUUCGAUGUGAUAAUGUAGAUUUUGUAGAAGUUAAUUUAUUUUUGAGUGAUUUGAAUACAUAUAGUAGUUCUUUCGUGUAUUUUCUUUAAAUAAGUUAUAUUUUUGUUAAUAAAAUUUUGACUUUAUAUAAAAGUUAACCAAAUCCUUCGGAUAAGAGGUUUUUUUUGUGUAAAAAUACAUUGUAUGUCAAUGUUUAACCUCAGAGCAAUUAAUAUGCAUGCAAGUGGUCGGGGGAAAAGUACUAUUGAAGUUUCGCAGAGAUUUGGUGUGUGACAAGGUAAUGCUAAAAACCAACUUCUCUUGAUAAUCUGCUUUCCGUGGGCGAAUCAUCAGUGAUGUUAUGAGACUUGCACCAGAAGGCAAAAUUGGUGCGUCUUAAAUUAAUGAUUGAUUGAUUGAUUGUUGGUUGCUUAAAGUCCAGUGGCAAAUAUUUCAGGCAUGUUCAGGACGAGAACAAGCUAACAAUAAAAACAAUAGGUAGGUUUUGUCAUAAUAGAGGCCAUUCGGGAUGAUGAUCGGGAAAAUUUAGACUGCCACUGGAAAAUGAUGGGAUAUUGGAUUGGGACAGAAAUUUUCCAUUGCAACAUGCCACUUACGGAUCCCUUAAAGAGUUGAUGCAAAGGUUUUUAACGUGCAAAGAACGUGACACUCCCUUUACACGAGGCAGCGGCUUUAACGUCCCCAUUCUGACCGGACGUGACUGCGAACUUGAUACAUCCCGCACAGCCAAACAGACGCCCAACUUCGUUUUAUUGCCGGUCGGGGGAAGACCAAGUGACCAUAUUUCGUUUCCCCAGUCACCCUUUGGGAACUUUAAAUUAGAAACAACAGAAAUCCAUAUAUGUGACAAAACUGUAACCUCACAACCUGACACUUUUAUACGAUCUCGCGCUCAGUUUCUUCCUUGUAGUUUGGAUAUGAAAACAGGGUUUUUGUGUAAAAGAAAAACCUUUUAAAAAAACCAGAAAACUACGCAAAACUGAGUCCUCUAAACGUGUUAACAGUCUUUUAAGUUGUGCUUAUUAAUGUGUGUAAUCAUUUAUCCAUGCAUAACCAAGUACUUAUUGAAGUAAACACCAGUGCAAUUAAGUAAAACAGUCACUGAAAAAAUAGAAUUUGAACUUGCUGUCAGUUCAUUAAUAACGAUUGUUAGUGAUGUGAUUUGUUUUUCCAUAUGAAAAAGCCUUUCUCAUGUAGCACAUCCUCUAUAUAUACUGAUCAAUUUUACCCAAGAUUGUCUCUGAUGCUUACCAAACUGCCAAACUCCAGAACUAACUAUAUAUUGUGACACCUUACAAUUCAGACACAGUGGGGCCAAGGGAUAUGAAUUAUAGAGUUUAGCUUGAACUCAAUUUAGGGGAUGCCAUAUCUGCUGCAGGAAAAUGAAAGUCUAUAUUAAGAUUUUCAGAAUUACACCAAGGUGUGUCUGAAAAUAUCAAGGAUACAUUAAAAGAAGAACAAUUACUUCAUCCUGCCACCAGUGGUCUUAUGAGCUAUGUCCUCGUUUUGGUAUUUCAAUGGAAAUGAUGCCCGCAUAGCUUGUUAAUAGAUAUAGGAAUAUGUGGUAUGAGUGCCAAUGAUACAACUCACCAUCCAAGUCACAAUUUAUAAAAAUAAACCAUUAUAGGUCACAGUCCGGUCUUCAACACAGAGCCUAGGCUCAAAAGUUCAUUUGAUAGUUAAUCUAUGAAAAAUAACACAAAGGCGCUUCUGAACCGUAUAUUGUCUCUAAAGAUAACAAAAAUUCGUAAAUGUAUGGCUAUUACAAAAUCAAUCGUUUCUGUAGCAACAUUCUCCGCUUUACAUUUGGGACUGGCAGUGUAGAUACAUCAUGCAUAUGCAUAUGGGAAUAUGGAUCACGAACAUUGAUCGAAACUUUGUACUCACAUUUCUUUUGUGUUUCCUAUGCAAAGGGAAGACUAUAUCUGACGAGUUUGACCAAAUCAUGACGGUAUUUACGCUCCAGAUAGCAUUUGUACUAAAAAAAACUGUGUUUGCUUUGAACAAACUCUGUCCUGCGCCGAACUUGUUCUUAUAAAAAAGGGAAGUGUCUUGUAAUGCUAAUACGCAUACUGAAUCCGCAUAUGAUGACUAAGAGAUUGAUUCAUGUCCCUAUUUUAUGAAUACUUGAGCUAUAGUGUGUGUCGCUUUUAAAAGUUAUAUAAGGAUCAUGACUGAAUUUGAAUUACAACAUUAAAAAAUUGGCAUUGCAUUGUAUAAUUUUUCAUCCUUCCCUUAAAAAAUCCUACUAAAAAAUGUUCAUGCACCAAACUGACUUUGUUUUACACUCAUUUUUUUUUAAACCUCGCAUUCGCCUCGGGUGACUAUAGUAUAUUUUGUGUUAUUACUGCUCUGUCCAGACUUUGCAAAUACACAAUAUGUAUUUAUCUAUAACUAGAUACUAAUUUUCACAAAAUACACAACCUUUAAGAUGCAAAAUUAAAAACACUGUUUCAGCGCUUGAAUUUUGUUUUUUUUCAAAGAUAGAAAAAAUAUUGAAAUAAUUUGAUAAACUGGUGUUUUAUACCUAAGAAAAUAAUUCUGUAAUAUACUAUAGUGAAAUACUAUACACAAUAUGAAAGUUUAUGGAUGUGAAAAGGUCAAGGCCACUUCUUCUUUUGCUAUGUCUUAAAUGGAAAAAAAUCAGAAUGUUCCAAAUCAACGCCAUUUUGUAAUGGCAGCUCUUCAUAUAAUUAGUCAAACUUGUCGUUUUAACAUCGUUUAUAGCAUAUGCUUAUGAUUGAAUCGUUUUUGUAGCAUUCUAUUGAAUAGAUAUCAGAAUAUUUCUCCUUUUUUUCCUUGUGUUUAAAAUAUUGAUAUUUUCAGGUCUGACCUUUGACCUCAAUUUCACAAAUUUGUGACCACUCUGGAUUUUUACGACUAAACUUUUCUUAUUGUACACGUUGUUCUCUUUCCAUCGAUAUAUAAUUUAGGUGUGUGUUCUUCCGGACCAUUAAAGUUUUAAAAAAUGAACUCUGGUUGCAGUACUAUAUAAUCUUAUAAACCGGACGAGCUUUUCGGAUACAUAAAUCUCACCAAUGCAGCUCACAUCAAAGCAGCAGAAAAGUCCUAAUCAAAUAAGAGAUUAGAGAGAAAUUAUCUAAGGAAUGACUGUAAUAUUUUUUUCUGUCUAUGAAGAAAUGUGGUGCACACCGAACAACUCGCGUAGCGUGUUAUUUUAAAUUGUGCACCACAUUUUUUAUAUUAUUAUGAAUAGGCAGAAAAAAAUAUUACAACCAUUUCUUAUAAUGUAAUUCUUAAUUCCAUUUUAAACCGGAGUAAAUAAUGAAAAAUCGUUGAUGACGUCACGAUCACAUGACAAAAUUAUGUCUAUGAGCUGAUAAACAAAACAUCGUCAGCCAAUCAGAAGACACGUUACAUCCAAAAUUCAAUUAUUAACUGUUAAUACUAGCAAUUGAUUUUCAAUACAUGAUGUUUGGGAUCAAAUUGUCGCGUUCAUGUUUCAUUAUCCAAUACUUCCUAUUCACACAGACAUAAAACUUGUUUUAGAACUGUCGUUAAAUUUCAUAUUGCCGUAGAAUAUCAACUGUGAUUUCGUUGAAAUUAAAACUUUUGCAUCAAGGCAAUACACAAUGAGGUUUAUAUCAAAAGUGUUUUCCUAGCUUUCUAAAACAUUCUAGUUUACUAUGUAGUAGGUUAAAUCUACACUAUGAUGUCAGUUCUAUAUAUAUUAUUAUGGAAGGUAUGAAACAUGGCAUCCAUAUAACUGAAUACACAUGUUUUGUGCAAAGAUCCAAGGGGUAGUCUGCUGUUACCGUUGAUAAGGAAUUUAUUUAGUAAAUUUUAAGUUUGCAUAUGCAUAUGAAUGUAAUUAUACAGGUUUUGAUAAUAAUAUUUGAUUUAGCUAUAUGAUUUUUUUCCUGACACGUUCUGCUACUUAAUAUUGAUUAAUUUGUGUUUUGAUUAAUUUUGUAGGUAAAGGAGGUAAGCCUUUGUUUCAAGUAUAGUUCUCGUUAGAUAAGUAUUAUUUGAAAAGAAUUUAUGAAAAUAAUGGCAUACUUUCCCUCUGACUAUCAACUCUGUAAGCACUUAACGCUUUCUUACGAUUUAAGUUAAAAUCUAAACUUUUAGAUCCUCUAUCUUAGGUUUUCUGUGUAAUGUAUUGUGCAUAACUUUGGACUGUUCGUUUUACUUCUAAUAACGAAGUUCUGAUUGAUUCUCAAUAUUUCCUGCUAAAAUAAUGUUUUUGCAAGUGAAAGGAAAAGUGUGAACCUCCUUAUUAAUAAAUCAAUUAUAUAACAAAGCGUUUCGAAGGUAAUACACUUUACUAGUGCUUGCACUUGAUGACUGAGUUGUUUUAAAAACACUGGAAAAAUACAAAAUGUUGAAGAUAAAUACAAGAGCUAAUAAAGCAAGAAAUACCAUAUGUUGGAACAUACUAUUACUUAAACGAGUUUAACUGUACUGGCGUUUUUAUCUUAUUCUAACAUAUUGAAAAUGCUAUAAGUUCGAAUUGGAAUAAUUCCUCAAGUAGAUUCACAGAACAGACUGUGAUGGGACAUCGAAUAUUGUUUCCAAAAACUAAAUACUAUUGAUUUGAUAUAAAGUAAAUGAGAAUUAAUUCUAUUUUAAUUAAAUCUAAUUUAAAUCACUCUAUUUGAAAUCUUAUUUGUUAUGCUUAUUGAUUCAUUGCUUUGUUCAGGUGAGCCGAUUUACUAUUUAAAAAAUUUAGAACAAGCCCG
rnacentral:lncRNA from 1 species